rnacentral:rRNA from 1 species
AUUUGUUUAACUGUGGCAAUAGGAAGUUUUGUUUCAUUGGCUGCAUGAAAUUUGUUUAUUGUUUGUGGGCUGUGUUUUCUGGUUGUUUUUAUCAGCAGUUGAUUUUUUGUUAAGAUGUGAGUCUUAUAAGGGUGAUGCAAUUUGAGAGGAUAGGGCACAGUGCCAGCAUCUGCGGUUAAUCUGUUUUCUUUGCUUUUGUGUGAAUUGUGUUUAUUUAUUUAUGUGCAACGUUAGGUUAAAUUUUUUUGUGAUAGUGUUGAGUAAAUAAGUUUUGUGAUGACAGGGAUUAGAUACCCCAUUAAUGUAUUUUGUAAGUUUGUUCUAGUUUUGUAACUAAAAGGGUUUGGCAGUGAGCGAUUCUUGUUAGGGGAAGACGCAUAGUAAAGGAUGGUCCACCUAUUAGUUUACUCUUAUUAUGUUGGUGUGUAUCUGGUUUAAUAUUAUUGUUGAAUGAUUUAAGUUUGUGUAGUUUUAGUUAAGCUAAGUCUAUGUGCUGCUUAUGGGAGUUUUUGUGUGUUACAUUAAUAAGGGUGUUGUUGUAAGAUGGUAUGAUUUAGGACUUAAUAGUAAUGUUUAAAUUAGUUUGUUGAUGUGAAUAGAGUUUAGGUCAGGUACACACCGCCCGUCACCCUGGGUUGUUAUUGAGGUAAGUCGUAACAAGGUAACUUUAAAUGAAUUUGAAGUUAAUU